UACGUAGGGGACAAGCGUUGUCCGGAAUGACUGGGCGUAAAGGGCGCGCAGGCGGUUUUUUAAGCAGGAUGUGAAAGGUCCCGGCUCAACCGGGGAGCGGCAACCUGAACUGGAAGACUUGAGUAUUGGAGAGGCAGGCAGAAUUCCUGGUGUAGCGGUGAAAUGCGCAGAGAUCAGGAGGAAUACCGGAGGCGAAGGCGGCCUGCUGGACAAAUACUGACGCUGAGGCGCGAAAGCGUGGGGAGCAAACAGG
rnacentral:rRNA from 1 species